rnacentral:rRNA from 1 species
UCUUUUAUGGGGUGACUGCGUACCUUUUGUAUAAUGGGUCAGCGACUUAUAUUCUGUAGCAAGGUUAACCGAAUAGGGGAGCCGAAGGGAAACCGAGUCUUAACUGGGCGUUAAGUUGCAGGGUAUAGACCCGAAACCCGGUGAUCUAGCCAUGGGCAGGUUGAAGGUUGGGUAACACUAACUGGAGGACCGAACCGACUAAUGUUGAAAAAUUAGCGGAUGACUUGUGGCUGGGGGUGAAAGGCCAAUCAAACCGGGAGAUAGCUGGUUCUCCCCGAAAGCUAUUUAGGUAGCGCCUCGUGAAUUCAUCUCCGGGGGUAGAGCACUGUUUCGGCAAGGGGGUCAUCCCGACUUACCAACCCGAUGCAAACUGCGAAUACCGGAGAAUGUUAUCACGGGAGACACACGGCGGGUGCUAACGUCCGUCGUGAAGAGGGAAACAACCCAGACCGCCAGCUAAGGUCCCAAAGUCAUGGUUAAGUGGGAAACGAUGUGGGAAGGCCCAGACAGCCAGGAUGUUGGCUUAGAAGCAGCCAUCAUUUAAAGAAAGCGUAAUAGCUCACUGGUCGAGUCGGCCUGCGCGGAAGAUGUAACGGGGCUAAACCAUG